GGCAGCGUGGCCUAGUGGAAAAAAUGCAAACCUGGUAUUCAGAGGACCUGGGUUCUAAUCCCAGCUCUGCCA
rnacentral:tRNA from 1 species